rnacentral:tRNA from 1 species
GACGAGGUGGUUAAGGCAAUGAACUGCUAAUCCAUUGUGCUCUGCACACGUGGGUUCGAAUCCCAUCCUUGUCG